rnacentral:rRNA from 1 species
CACGUAGGAUCCGAGCGUUAUCCGAAUUUACUGGGCGUAAAGCGCAGGUAGGCGGUCUGGUAAGUUGGACGUGAAAGCUCCUGGCUCAACUGGGAGAGGUCGUUCAAGACUGCCGGGCUGGAGGGCGGUAGAGGGAGGUGGAAUUCCCGGUGUAGUGGUGAAAUGCGUAGAUAUCGGGAGGAACACCAGUGGCGAAAGCGGCCUCCUGGACCGCACCUGACGCUCAGCUGCGAAAGCUAGGGGAGCGAACGGGAUUAGAAACCCCAGUAGUCC